CCAGUCCCGACAACGAAGUCAACCAUAGCAAUCCGCGAAGUCUACAUCUGCUAGUUCAGCUCCACCUCCUUCCUAUUUUUCUUCUUCCUCCAUUGCUCAGAUCCUAAACUCUAAUACCCAGAAAUCAAUCAGAUCUGUUCGUCUCUCACUUUGUGGACUGCAUGUUGUCGAUCUCCACUCUCAAAACAGAGAUUGUUCACUGUUGAAGAAUUGGCUUUGUAUAAUGGGACUGAUCAAAGUUUGCCAGUCUUGUUAGGAAUUGGGGUCGGUUUUUGAUGUGGUGAAGGGAAAGUCUCAUUACAGUGAGGGUGGGGGUUAUAAUCAUUUUUCUGGAAGGGUAUCACUCUCUUUGCAUCUGUUGCUGCAACUCUUGGACUAAAAUAUUGCUCGAGUCUGCUUGAGAACUGAUCUCAAAGGAGUAGUUUAGAGAGAAGCACAGAAACAUUGCCUCAACAAAUCAGUCUCUGCUAUAAGUGAAU